rnacentral:rRNA from 1 species
GUUGGAUAAUCUACCCUAAGGUGGAGGAUAACCUCGGGAAACUGAGAAUAAUACUCCAUAAGUCUAGGAUACUGGAAUGUACUUAGGCUGAAAACUUCGGUGCCCUACGAUGAGUCUGCGGACUAUCAGGUUGUAGUCAGGGUAAAGACCUGACUAGCCUACAACGGAUACGGGUUGUGAGAGCAAUAACCCGGAGAUGAUAUCUGAGACACGAUAUCAGGCCCUACGGGGCGCAGCAGGCGCGAAAACUUCACACUGCGCGAAAGCGCGAUGAGGGAAUCCCAAGUGCUUGCACGUAAGUGUAAGCUGUUUCUAUGUCUAAAACGCAUAGAGAGUAAGAGCUGGGUAAGACGGGUGCCAGCCGCCGCGGUAAUACCUGCAGCUCAAGUGGUGGCCGUUAUUAUUGGGCCUAAAACGUCCGUAGCCGGUUUAUUAAAUGCCUGGGUAAAUCGGGCCGCUUAACGGUUCGAAUUCCGGGUAGACUGAUAGACUUGGGACCGGGAGAAGCUAGAGGUACUCCUGGGGUAGAGGUGAAAUUCUGUAAUCCUAG